CGCAGCCGCGGUAAUUCCAGCUCCAAUAGCGUAUAUUAAAGUUGUUGCAGUUAAAAAGCUCGUAGUUGAAUUUCGGGAUCAAUACGUCGGUCGUGCUUCGGUACGUACUGGCGUAAUUGAUUUCUCCCUUCUGACGAACCAUGAUGUCAUUAACUUGGUGUCAUGGGAAAUCAGGACUGUUACUUUGAAAAAUUAGAGUGUUUAAAGCAGGCUCACGCUUGAAUACAUUAGCAUGGAAUAAUGAAAUAGGACGUUCGAUCCUAUUUUGUUGGUUUUUAGGAUCAACGUAAUGAUUAAUAGGGAUAGUUGGGGGCAUUAGUAUUCAAUUGUCAGAGGUGAAAUUCUUGGAUUUAUUGAAGACUAACUACUGCGAAAGCAUUUGCCAAGGAUGUUUUCAUUAAUCAAGUUAACGAAAGUUAGGGGAUCGAAGACGAUCAGAUACCGUCGUAGUCUUAACCAUAAACUAUGCCGACUAGGGAUCGGAUGAUGUUAAUUUUUAAUGACUCAUUCGGCGCCUUAA
rnacentral:misc_RNA from 1 species